AUUAAUGUAUAUACACAUACACAUGUGUAUAUGCAUGUGUAUGUUAGCUGCAAUUUUCACAUUGCAAGAUAAGUAGAUGUCUGCGUCUUUGCAAUAUACGGUACUUAACAUAAUUGCAUCAAAUGAACAUAAACAAAUUUUAAAUAUAACAAGACUAAAUGCUGCAGUCGACUUCUUUUACAACGAACAACAAAGGCAACAGAAAAAAUUAAAUGAGAGGAAGCAGUUAAAUGAGCGAAAUGCGGCGAAACUUUAUUAGCCUGCGUUGUGUUUUCGCUACAUUCUAUAGGCUACAAAGCUACAAAAGAGAGCUACGGCGAAUUCACAAUGAGCGUCGACGACGACAGCGGCAGCGGUGGUUGACGGCCACAAACCGAAGUUCGUUGAAAUUUCGAAUGUAUGAAAACGUUCAGUCUGCCGCCAGCGCGGGCCCGAGCGUUUAGCUCGAAAACGCGGCAGAGGGCCCAGCGAGAAUUAGCUGGGUCAACAAGGUGACUGGUGGUGGCAGAGCAAGAGCAGAGCAUAGCCGUACGAGUGCGUCUGUUUGCUUCUACUUCUGUAGGUAUACGCGCCUAUGUAUGUGAGCGCGCGCGCGACAAUGCGAUGUGCUCUGCUGUAUAUAUCGUUUGGCUAUUUUCCCCCUCCCAUUAUAAAAUACGAAAUUAUUUGAGGAAUGCGAAUGCGGCAAUGGCAACAGCGACACACGUAUACAUAGGCAAAUAUAAUGCUAAACGCACUACAGCUGGGGCUCUUUUAAAAAUAGCCAACGUGCUUUUGGGCGCAGAACAGUUAGACAGGCGGGCAUGCAGGCGAAUUGUCGGGCUGACGUCAUCUAGCGAACGCAAGGAUGAAUUGCGUAUAAUAUAUGCAAUGUUCCACACAGCUGUAGGUAAUAAAUUUGCCGCCUACUUAAGGACAGACGGACAGGAAAUGGCAUAUUCAUGCACACAUUCACACAUAAGUUCAUGAAUGUGUGUUUAAAGCGAAGACAAACAGGGCGGCACAUGUGUGGCAACGCUGGCAGUGAGAGCGUUCGUUUUUUGUGAUUGAACGAAACACAAUGGUGCGACUAGAUACAAUUGGUCGAAAUCUGUUUAGAUAUUGAUCUACACGUGAUGAUUGCCAGCCACAAACUAGUUAUGAAAUCAAGAGUCUAUGACGGCCACUAGCUGCUAGCGAGAGGAAGUAGAUACAGAGAGAGAGAGAGAGAGCGAAGAAAAAGUGUAAUUAAUUUUUUUUU